rnacentral:rRNA from 1 species
AUGGCUGUCAGCAGCUGUAGCUUCUUGGCCAUUGCCAUGGCCCUCGCUCUCCUUAGCGGCCACAUGGCCCACGCCGGCCGCCUCCUGGCGGACACCACGGAGGCAGCAGCGCCCACUGCAACGCCUGCCGCUGUCUCGGGCAUCCCCGCACCGAAGCCGCCCGUGCCCACCAUGCCUACAAUGCCACCAGUGCCAACCGUACCCGCGCUCGCCACACCGCAGGUCACAGUGCCGCCGAUGCCGGCCGUGCCCGCGCUCACUGUCCCGCAGCUCACGGCGCCCCCCAUGCCGGCCGUGCCCGCGAUCACCGUGCCCCAGGUCACGUUGCCGCCCAUGCCGGCCGUCCCUGCGCUCACCGUGCCCAAGGUCACGUUGCCGCCCAUGCCGGCCGUCCCCGCGGUCACUGUGCCCAAGGUCACGUUGCCGCCCAUGCCCGCAGUUGUUGUGCCGAAGGUGACGAUGCCGCCAAUGCCUGCAAUUCCAUCCAUCUCCAUCCCCAAGGUGGCAUUGCCUCCGAUGCCUUCCAUUCCCACUGUGAACGUGCCGAUGCCAUUCCUUGCGCCACCUCCUUCAGCAUAG